rnacentral:rRNA from 1 species
GACGAACGCUGGCGGCGUGCUUAACACAUGCAAGUCGAACGGAAAGGCCCUGCUUGCAGGGUACUCGCGUGGCGAACGGGUGAGUAACACGCGGGAGAUCUGCCCUGCACUUCGGGGUAAGCCUUGGAAACUGGGUCUAAUAUCGGGGAGGAGCCAUCUUUCGUGUGAUGGUUGGAAAGUUUUUUCGGUGUAGGAUGAGCUCGCGGGCUAUCUGCUUGUUUGUGGGGGAAUGGCCUACCAACGCGGCGGAGGGUAGCCGGCCUGCGGGGGUGGACGGCCAAAUUGGGGCUGAGAAACGGGCCAGGACCCCUCGGGGAGGAAGCGGGGGGGAUAUUGCAAAAUGGGGCGGAAGCUGAUGGCAGGACGGCGCGGGGGGGGUUACCGGCUUCGGGUUGUAAACUCGUUUCGCUCGGGAAGAAGCUGUUUGUGACGGUACCUAGAUAAGAAGCACCGGCUAACUACGUG